GCUUAGCCCUAAACCUCAGUAGUUAAACCAACAAAACUACUCGCCAGAAUACCACAAGCAACCGCUUGAAACUCAAAGGACUUGGCGGUGCUUCACACCCUCC
rnacentral:rRNA from 1 species